rnacentral:lncRNA from 1 species
UGACCGGUCCACAUCAAAAUAAGUAAUAGGGGUAAACUGGGUAGGGAGAAAAUGUAAGAUAUUCAAAGUUUUUUUUUUUCAAUAACGAAUAAAAAUUUGUCAACCAAAAGUUUUGCUAUCAUUUCAUAAACAUGUCGUUCUGUGUUGGUACAGUUUUCGGAACUUUCAUGUAUGUAUUUAAGGCAAUACAAAGUUUGGGUUUCAAAAGUCCACAUAAUUAUUGAC